GGCAAGAUGGCGAUACCUGAUCUGUAAAAAAUUAUCAAAAACCUAAACUCUCGUAUGCUUAUUUGGGGUGAUGGGAAUUAGCAUGAAAUCCUUUCCACAGUUUACAUUCCUAAUAAUAUCAGAAUGUAACCAGAAUCACCAUUACUUUCAAAACAGUAACAUCACCCAACUCCCUGCAAAAAAGAUACAUUUCUGUAACCCCAGCUAUAAGCAUUUGGCAAGAGGGGGAAAAAAAUCACUCAAUUGUCUUCAUGGAAAGUGUCAAACAUUCGAUAUUAGGAUGCUCUUGUUAAGAAACAGAAGUUGCAAUUUGGUCAUCAUCAUCAUUCCUUGCAACUACUUCAGCCAUAUUAAGAACCUCGGGGCAGAACUACCCUGAAAACAGCAUAGUGAUGAUUCAAGCUUUUCUCUCCCUGUAGUCUGUGAACACUG
rnacentral:misc_RNA from 1 species